rnacentral:lncRNA from 1 species
GCCCUGCACCACUGCUUCGAUGGUCCUACAGGUGUUUGGCUCACAGACCUGGUGCACGUGGCAGCCCAUGAGAUUGGCCAUGCACUGGGACUGAUGCACUCACAGCAAGACCAGGCACUCAUGCACCUCAAUGCCACAUUGCGAGGCUGGAAGGCACUGUCCCAGGAUGAGCUGUGGGGACUACACCGACUCUAUGGCUGCCUGGACCGGAUUUUUGUGUGUACAUCCUGGGCACGAAAGGGAUUUUGUGAUGUCCGCCAGAGGCUCAUGAAGAGGCUCUGCCCCAGAAGCUGUGAUUUCUGUUACGAAUUCCCAUUUCCCACGGUUGCCACCACCACAUCACC